AGGUCUUCGGAUUGUAAAGUUCUGUUGUCAGGGACGAACACGUACCGUUCGAAUAGGGCGGUACCUUGACGGUACCUGACGAGAAAGCCACGGCUAACUACGUGCCAGCAGCCGCGGUAAUACGUAGGUGGCAAGCGUUGUCCGGAUUUAUUGGGCGUAAAGCGCGCGCAGGCGGCUAUGUAAGUCUGGUGUUAAAGCCCGGAGCUCAACUCCGGUUCGCAUCGGAAACUGUGUAGCUUGAGUGCAGAAGAGGAAAGCGGUAUUCCACGUGUAGCGGUGAAAUGCGUAGAGAUGUGGAGGAACACCAGUGGCGAAGGCGGCUUUCUGGUCUGUAACUGACGCUGAGGCGCGAAAGCGU
rnacentral:rRNA from 1 species